CCUACGGGUGGCAGCAGUAGGGAAUCUUCCACAAUGGACGAAAGUCUGAUGGAGCAACGCCGCGUGAGUGAAGCAGGGUUUCGGCUCGUAAAGCUCUGUUGGUAGUGAAGAAAGAUAGAGGUAGUAACUGGCCUUUAUUUGACGGUAAUUACUUAGAAAGUCACGGCUAACUACGUGCCAGCAGCCGCGGUAAUACGUAGGUGGCAAGCGUUGUCCGGAUUUAUUGGGCGUAAAGCGAGUGCAGGCGGUUCAAUAAGUCUGAUGUGAAAGCCUUCGGCUCAACCGGAGAAUUGCAUCAGAAACUGUUGAACUUGAGUGCAGAAGAGGAGAGUGGAACUCCAUGUGUAGCGGUGGAAUGCGUAGAUAUAUGGAAGAACACCGAUGGCGAAGGCAGCCUCCUGGGACAUAACUGACGCUCAGGCACGAAAGCGUGGGGAGCAAACAGGAUUAGAUACCCGUGUAGUC
rnacentral:rRNA from 1 species